AGUGAAGCAAGAGGUCAGAUCCCCAGACGGAAAAUCAAUCUCCAAGAGUGGCUGGAUAGAAUUUCUAAUUCCCCAGUGCCACGACACGCAGUCUGUUUCCAGCCAAGGAGAAUGAGGCCCAGAGGCGUUAGCUUUCCCAACCCACUGUACAUGAUCAGGUUAAGCUGACACCCCUCCCUGCCUGGAGCACACAGUGUCUGACAGUCACACAGACAGGCACAGCGGUCCCAUGGUGAGGCCUUCCAACCUGCUUUUCUCAAGAUGAGGCCUCUGAGGCAUAGAGAAACUAAGUAAGUCACCCAAGGGGAGCUGCUUGAAGGGGUGAAGAGGCAUGUCUGAGUCCGGAUUUAAACCUUUCUCCUUGUGAUUCUGAAGCCGUGGGCUCUCUGUAUCUUAGGCUGAUAUAUCCUGUCUCAGAGGGAGAAGGUUUUGCUGGCCACAUCCCAUUGGGUAUUACGAAGAAAAUAUAGUUUCAGUAAUCAUAAAGUGACUUCACCAUGUACCAGCUGGAUGAUCAGGGGGCUGAUGGUGACAGAAUUCAAACUGAACUGGGCAAGGAAGGAGUAGAAAGUGGGCAAAUAGAGACCAAGAGUACAGGCAAUGCUUUGGCGAAACUUCACUCUAAAUAGAAGGAGAAAUACAGGAAGUAGCUGGAAGUAUAAAGUUAUGUGAAAAGAGGUGAGAUUUAAAUUCAGUUCUGACCCCAUGACUGAAUUCUGUAAGUUGCUGUUUCUGAACCACCUUAUACUGUUGUUUCUCUGUGUUUGCAUGCUAAUCCAUAAAUUCUGCCCUCUUUUUAUUAUGAUUUGCAACAGAAGCUACUCAAAUGAAGUUCAUCUAUAGAAAAAAGUUCUGGAGUUUUUGAGUAUGUCAUUGUAAAACUAAUUAUUUACUAAGUCUGUGUUAAGCACUAAAAUGUUCACAUACAGACAUUCCUGUAACCUGCUUUCAUCCUAGUAAGGCAUGUAAAAUGAAUUAAGUUUAGAGGAAAAGAGUUAGAGUUAAAGGGUAGUAUUAUUGUAAUUUAUGGGUGAGGAAUCUAGGAGUCAUUGAGACAUUCAUGGCAGAACUGGUACAAGAACCCAAGCCUUCUAAUUCCCAGUCCCUGUCCUUGCUAUUCUUCCAUGCUUUCCACAAGAAGGCAGGCAGGGUAUGAGUUACUGACAUCUGCUGCUUGAACCCAGAGCAACCACCAUCAAAACUUCCUCCUCUUAUAAUCAUUAAUAGUAACAGUAGUAGGUGAUAUGAUUUGGCUGUGUCCCCACCCAAAUCUCAUCUUGAAUUAUAGUUCCCAUAAUCCCCAUGUGUUGUGGGAGGACCUGGAAGGAGGUCAUUCAAUCAAGGGGGUGGUUGCCCUCAGGCUGUUCUUGUGAUAGUGAGUGACUUCUCAGGAGAUCUGACAGUUUUAUAAGGGGCUUUUUUCCUUUUUGCUCAGCACUUCUCUUACCUGCCACCAUGUGAAGAAGGAUGUGUUUGUUUCCCCUUCCAGCAUGAUUGUCUGUCUGAUGCUUCCCAUAUUUACAUUGAGUUUAAUCAGUUUGGGCAAGAACAUGGCAGAUAUGACGUUGUGUCCUCAUCGAUGCAUCAUAAAAGGAGACACGUGAUUUUACUACAUGUUAUUGCUGGUGUUGCUAACCUUCAUCACUUGGGUAAGGUGGUGUCUGCCAUAUCUAUUUACUGGAAAGUCAUUAUUUUCCUCUUCAUAUUAAUUAGAAUCUUGCGCUGAAAACCUCUGGGAUUAUGACAAUAUCCUGCUUCCCACUUUUACUCACUAAUUUUAACUUCGAUUGAUGGUUCUUGCCUGCAACAUUUAUCUCUGUAGUGUUUACCUAAUGAUUAUUUUCUAUUUCCAUUAUUUAUUCUAUAUUUAUUUAUUUAUUUAUUUUUGAGACGGUGUCUUGCUCUGUCGUCAGGCUGGAGUGCAGUAGCAUGAUCUUGGCUCACUGCAACCUCCGCCUUUCGAGUUCUCCUGCCUCAGCCUUCUGAGUAGCUGGGACUACAGGCACAAGCCACCACGCCCAACUAAUAUUUGUAUUUUUAGUAGAGACAGGGUUUUACCAUGUUGGCCAGGAAGUUCUCAAUCUCUUGGCUUCAUGAUCCUCCCGCCUCGGCCUCCCAAAGUGCUGGGAUUACAGGCGUGAUCUUCUACAUUUAUUAAUUGUAAGGCUACUGUUCUGACAGUGAAGAGGAAGACCUGUCCUUUCUUUCUCAUUUAUUUCCUUCUUCAGUAAUUUACUUAUGGAGUUAUUUACUUACCGACUUAUUUCAUGCUAUUACUGUUUAUUUUAUUCUGAGUAGGCCACUGAGAGAUUCUUAAAGCUAGUUCAAAUGUACUUUGAAAAUUCCUUGUGGAGUAACUUAUUUCUUUCUGGCACCAUAAUUUUACUGCCCCAACUCUAGACUUAGCCAACUUUUUAAGAAGUCCUGAUUACUUUUACUGGAGAAAUGGGAGAAUGGUAUUUAGAAUCCAGUAUCUGGGAGCUAGGUAUACACAUUGCUACUACGGUGUCAUUGCUUCCAGGCCACCUCAGCACAGAGAGGUAGGGAGCAUAUGCAUGUUUAUUCAUGCAUGAAUAUAUAUAUAUCUAUAUUUACUUAUAUAUAUAUAUAUAUAUAUAUAUAUACACACAACUGUGUGUGUUUAUACAUAUACACAUAUAUAAUCAUAAGUUGCUACUGACAUCUUCAGGUUCAUUCUAAGCUUCUCCUUUUCUCAUUUGUGAGGUACUUGGCUCUCAUUAUCCACAGUAUAUUGAUUUCUUCACUCAGUUGUAGCAUACACUUAAAGAGAUGUCAAUACAGCUAACCCAGAUAUCUAUGAAAAACAAAUUUACCAAUUAGAGUAUAAUAUUUAUGGAUGGUUAUUUUUCUCUUUAGCAAUAUCGUGUACAUCAAAAUAUUCUUUCCCAGAUUUACUUAGGUUCUUUUUUUUUUCCCAACCCCCUUUGUAAUACAGUAGGUUCAGUUUUUACUGUGUGUAUUUCAUUUUGUCCACCCCAGCAUACACAUAUAUCCUGGCUAUUUAUCUAUCAUCUAUUUAUCAAGCGAUUGGAGACAUGAGGCAUCACAAUGAUUCUAAGAGUUACAGUUAUAUAAAGAUGUAUACUCAGAGAAGCGUCAUUUCUUCCUGCUACCAUGUUCCCAUUCCCACAUUCCUUCCACCACAUUCCUACCAUACCCUGUAAGUAACCAAUCUUAUUAGUUUCUGGUUUAAACUUCCUGUAUUUCUUUUGCAAAAAUGAAUAGAUACACACGUAUUUCCUUAUGUCUUUCUUUUUACAUGAAAGGAAGUACAUUGUAAGUACUUUUCACACUCGAUUUUCUUCAAAAUAUUCUAGAAAUCACUCCAUAUCAGAUAUUAUCUUCAGUUUUACAGAUAAAGACACAGGUGUAAAGAGGUUAAGUAACUAGCUCAAGGUCCUAUGUCUAUUAAGGAGUAAGGAUGGGAUGUGAAUCUAAGAGGUUUUGACUCUAGAAUCCAUGCUCUUCCUUCUACAUCAAAGUUUCUUAUCCAUAGUUCUUGGGGAAUCUCUAGGUUCUUUAAGUUCUCUUACAUCAUUUAAAGAAUUAAUAUAUGUAUCUUCUGGAUCAUCCAGAUGACUAUCUUUUAAGCACUAACAGGCAUCUUUAUUGUCCAUAGGAUCUGAAAAUCCCCCAACAGCCCAAAGUGAAUGCUCUCAGUACAGUCACAGAAGGAAAGCUUUAGAGUAAACAGAGAUAGCAGUUACCUGGCUGUGGCCUUCGCUUGUAGUUCUGGGAAAGCAGCAUGGCCUUGUACCAUGUGGUCUAUCUGAAAAGUAAGAGAUGGGUCAAUUUUGUAGCUUCUUUAAUUUACAUAGGAGAUAGAAAAAUUUACAUUAAAACGAGUGUAUGUUUCUUUCAACUCUUUGUCCACACAGGAUCUAAGAACAUUAACAUGCCAAUGUGGCAAGUGUGCCUCAGCUAAAAUAAAUUUAGCUUUGAUUAACCUAGUGCUAGUGCUAGCCUCUUAAAUAUAUAAAACAAGGAAGUUUAGAGAGAAGAGUAAAAGGAAAUGAAAUUCCCAAGGCUAAACUGGUAAAAGCAGGUUAGCAACAGGCUCAAGAAUGAAGAGUAAGGAAGAAAGGGUAACUUAACUCAACUGGUGGGGGGUCUGAGUGUCAAAAGCACUAACCUUUUCUGGAUUACAUCAUCCAGGCUGUCAUCCCUGGGCAAUGUCAAACCGUGAAUUACUCACUGUGUCUUACUAAUGGAGAAGAUGGAUAAAGACUAUGUCCCUCAUUUAAAAAAAUUUUUUUGAAACCCUUAGUUAAGGAUAACAGAAAAGUGAGAUGGCCCAGAGCUGUCAGGAGAAACUCUUCUGACUGAAAAAUCAUCACAUGGGAAACACAGCUCUCCAAGGACAGAAAUAUCUGAGCUCUGAAGACAAUCAUCUUCUCAUUUGAAAUCCCAGGUCUAGGAUCUUAUUCCUUAAUCCACUUGGUGGCUCUAAACAAAAUAGUAUGAAAUAGGUAUUAGGACAGAGAUGUUUCUCCACGCACACCCAAGCAACACUGUGCUUGAAUUCCUGAACCUCAUCUGUGUAUUUUCUGAAUGUUUACUUGAGUUUCUAGGAUGCUAAAACAACCAUUCUGAUAGAGUUAUUUUCAUUCCAACUAGGAAAAGACUUGCUCUUUUGGCUUCACAGGGAUAGGCCCUCUGAGCAUGUUUCCUGAGAGCUAGGGCUGUAUAAAGAAGAAGAUUAUUUGUUCAGGAGCCACAGAGGCCAGGUGUGGGUUCUGGCUCGGAAUUUCACUAGCUGAGUGACUUUGUGCAAGUCACUAAACUGUUUUGAACCUUCAUGGCAUGCUUUUAAACAGGAUUUUGAGGAAGUUAAGUGUGUCUACUUGACAUGGUUUGUCUGUGUCCCCACCAAAAUCUCGUCUUGAAUUUUAGCUCCCAUAAUUCUCACAUGUUGUGGAACGGACCUGGUGGGAGACAAAUGAAUCAUGGAGGCAGUUUUCCCCAUAUUGGCCUUGUAGUAGUGAAUAAGUCUCAUCAGGUCUGAUGGUUUUAUAAGGGAUUUUCUCUUUGACUUGAUUCUCAUUUUCUCUUGCCUGCUGCCAUGUAAGACUUUCACCUUCUGCCAUGAUUAUGAGGCCUCCCCAAUCAUGUGGAACUAUGCGCCCAUUAAACCUCUUUUUCUUUAUAAAUUACUUAGUCUUGGGAAUGUCUCAAUAGGCAGUGUGAAAAUGGACUGAUACACUACUACAGUGCCAACAGUAGCAUAAACGAUAUCACGUGAAAGAUACUGACUCAUUUGCCAUAUAUCAGCACUAACUGAAGUCUUAUAUGCACAUUAUUCUAUUUUGUUUAUUCUUUAGACCACUCCUAUGAAGAAGAUACUAUUCUUCACUAUGGAGAUAAGGAAACUGAGCCUAAGGCCACAGAAAAGUAAUGACAAAUCUAGGUCUCAAACUGAGGCCUCUAUAUUUUAAGACCUUGUUCUUAACUACUAUGUCAUAUUGUCUACUGAACUUCCAGAUAUAAGUUUUAUACCAUUGGUGGAGUUUUUGUGGAAAUGUUUCAGAAUAAUAUCAAAGACACUGGUCAUUUCAAUGAAAAAAAUUCAUGCAGUUAUUGAAUAUUUAUUUUCUCUGGGUUCAACUUUACAUUACUGUGAUGAUGGAUACCUUCAUCACACUCUGGAUCCCCUGAGUUUGCAAUCCAUUGAGAACAUCAAGAUAAACUCACUGGGAACAGUAAUGGAUAAUUAAAGGCAUUACUUAAUUUGACACUUGUUUUUAUGGGAAGUGCUUUAGGAGUUCAGAGAAGAGAGAAGAAAAAGAUGGACUGGUGACAUAUUUUGGAGGUGGAACCCUCAGGACUUACUGAUGGAUUGGAUGCGAGGAGAAAGGGGAAAGGAAGAGUCAAGGAUUAAUCCUACUUUUUUCUCAUGUUUUGGCUUUAAUAAAAAUAUAAAUGAUGGUACUCUUUACCAAGAUAUAGAAAGAUAAUGCAGAAUCAACUUUGGGAAUGUAUCAGUCACUACAGUCAGAAAAUGCAGUAAUUCUUGACUCCUUCCUCCCUCUGACUCCAAAGCAUCAAAUACACCUUCACUCAUUGAUAGCACUGCUACACUCCUUAACCCUUGGCCCCUUUCUUCUGUACACUUCACACCUAGUCCAUCAGGGUGUGAAGGUCAAGGUCAAGAUUUGAAGGUGGCUGUACCUUCAAAAUACAUCCAAAAUCUAAGCAUUCUUUACCAGCUCCAUUCCAUUAUCCUCUUCUCUUAGCUGACUUACUGCAAUAACCUCUUUCUGGCUUCUAUGCUUCCCUCCCUAUACUCUCAACCCAUAGUUAACAACACAGUAACCCCACAACAAUACAGUAGGCAACAAUAAAAAUGAUUCUUUGAAAACCUAAGUCAUCUCACAUCACUCCUCUGCUUGCUAUUCUCCAACAGUUUCCAUUUCACUCAGAGUAAAAACAAUUACUGUGGUCAAUAAUGUAGACCCUAUUACCUCUCUGAACUUGUUCCCUGCAACUCUCAUUUUGGUUCUCUCUGCCCCAUCCAUUAUGACCUUCUUGCUAUUCUCAUAAUAUCCCAGGCAAGCAACCCUUUUCAGAAUCUUUACAGUGGUUUUUCCCUUGACCUGGUAUAUUCUUCCCCUAGGUUUCAAAAUGGCUAAAUUCCUUCCUUUCCUCAUUCUUUGUUCAAAUGUCACAUGAGUGAGGUCUGCCCUGACCACCCUAUUUAAAACUGCAACCUUCAUACCAUAAUUGUGGUUUAUUAUCAUAAAAUUGAAUUUAUUUCUUUAUCAUUUAUAUAUUUGUGUAUAUAUUUGAUUUUUUUUUUUUUUUUUUUUUUGAGACGGUUUCGCUCUUGUUACCCAGGCUGGAGUGCAAUGGCGUGAUCUCAGCUCACCGCAACCUCCACCUCCUGGGUUCAGGCAAUUCUCCUGCCUCAGCCUCCUGAGCAGCUGGGAUUACAGGCAUGCGCCACUGUGCCCAGCUAAUUUUUUUGUAUUUUUAGUACAGAUGGGAUUUCACCAUGUUGACCAGAAUGGUCUUGAUCUCUCGACCUCAUGAUCCACCUGCCUCGGCCUCCCAAAGUGCUGGAAUUACAGGCGUGAGCCACUGCUCCCAGCCUUAAUUUUAUUUAUUUAAUAAAUAUAUAUAUUUGUGUAUAUGUUUAUUAUCUAUGUAAUUUUGGUAUACAUACCAUAAAAUUAAAUUUAUUUAUUUAUUGUGUAUUAUCUGUCUCCUCCUGUUAGAAUGUAAGCUUGAGAAAGGUACAGAAGUCUUGGCAGGGUGUAGGAGGCUGCAGGAGGGGCUGUUUUACUCACUGCUCUUUUCUCACUCAGAACAGUACCUCAAAUAUAGUAAGCACUCGGUAAAUACUGGCUGUAUAAAUAAACAUCAUUCUAAAGAAUUCAGACUUUAUUCUAACGACAACUGAAGAGCUAUCACGAGUGACAGACUCAUAACUAUGUUUCAGAAAGACUUCUAUAGUUACAAUGCAAGAGCAAGAUUAGAGGGGGAAAGAUUAGAGGCAAGAAGCCAAUUAGGAAGUUGUGCAGCAAUCCAGAUGAGUAAACAAAAAAUACAGCAAAAGCCAGGGCAGGAAGAGGGAACAGGGAGACAUUUGUUAAUGCAGAGUUAGUCUUUGUAUCCAUGAAGUCAUUCUAACUAGCAAAUGUGAAAUGCUGGGGACACACCUACAUCUGUCCACAGGGCUUGUCAAUACUGAUGCAUAUACAUCUUUCUCCCAUGGACUUACAAAGCCUGCCAACUGUAUUUGCUUCAAGAUGCUUAAAGAGAAUGUCAUGUUAACGGACAACAGUUGUUUCUCAAGGGAGUCUACAAGAGAACUGGAUGAAAAGCUCAGAAAUGCAACUCCACAGAAAUCAGAUUCAGUUCUGGAAAGAUCUUGGGCCUCUGGUGGCCAAUUUGGUGGGUGUAUGUAUGACUGUGUGGCAUUGUUGAUACCAUAAACAAUGUACUACUGGAGCAGACACUCUCAGAUGUGGCUUAGUAAAGAAGUAUAUAUGCAACAAGGAACAAAAAAGAUGCAGCUUUCUCUUAUCAUUUCCUAUGUGACAACAAUGUGUUUAAAACCAGAGACUAUAAUUUACAAGAGAAUAAACAAGAAUUAGUCAACGGUAAUGAAAGGUGAGUAGUAAAUAAACCAUAUUAAAAAGCCAUCAAUGGUGGGUGAGGAGUCUCUCCAGCUGUGAUUGCUACCUUCACCUAAGUAUAAAAUACAGAUACUGACUGUAUCUAUAGGUAUAGUCAUAGGACUUUUGAGAGUAUUAAUAAAAUAAUACAUGAAAAGUUCUUAGAAUUAAGAUUGGAAACAAGUCUUCAAAAUAACAUUAGGCAUGGUAAUUAUGGCCGUCAUUCAAAGUUUAACAGAAUUAUGUGUAUAAAUCCCUCUAACAGAAAAAAAUUCAGAAAGCUACAAUUAUUACAAUUAACACUACCAUCACAAUAAUAUUUUUUUGUCUGUUUUAUAACUGGCAUCUCUCUCUUUGCGUGUCCUCUUUGGACUGAUGAUGGACAAUAUAAUUUGUUCUUGAUUCAAAUUUUGUUCCAUUGUGCUAGAUUUUGGAUUUCGUAAGAUUUCACUCUCUGUAACCUAUGAAUCAAUCAAGUCGCAUGCCUAUGUCCAAUGAAACUACGUUGCCCAAAAUGGAGCUCCGAAUGAAGCUUGACAGGUUGAUGGUGCAAUACUAAUGAAACAGAUAAAAGCUAACAAUUCCCAUGACUGCUGUCAAAAACCACAGCGGAAUAUUAUGAUUUGUUGGUGAUAGCAAUGAAGAGGUCCCAUUUUUUAUUUAAAUUCAGGCUUAUGAAAUAGGUAAAACCAAUUUUUGUCCACAAAGAUAUGUCAUAACAUUUGGAAUAAAAUGGAUUAUAUACAUGGCAGUGGAGGAAACUUUGAGCCAAAUGCUGGGGAAAAUAUUUCUGACUGAUAGGGAUGUUCGAUGUGUAUAUCAAGUCUCUGAAAACCUACUGAUGGACAGGUUCAUGACCAAUGCAUUCUGCACAAAUAAUUGGUUUACUGGAUCAUUUUCCUUAUUACAAAAAGCUUCUGGCUUGUGUCGUCUAUGAGUUCUGGGUCUCCUAAGGGUGAUUAUACUAUGAUCGGAGGUUUAAAAGGGCUAUAUUUCAGUCAUGGGUCCUCAAUGUGCCACAAAAAGAGAAAGAAUAUUUAACUUAAAAGUUGUCCAGGAACAGCUGGGGGAGGGGGAGGGGCCAAAAUGGCCCACUAGAAGCAGCAGCAGUCGGAGGCUCACAUCAAAAAGAACCAUAACAGCUUGCGAAUCCUGCAGCAGCAACGGAUGUAUCCAGAUUCUGUCAUCAGAACUGACUAGUUGGCUGGUGUGACACAUAGAGAGGAAGGAAGAGCU